UUUUUGUGGCAAGUUGAAUGUAAGACUACAAUACCCAGCAUGCACUGGGACUGACUUGUGUAGAAGUCGGGAGUUCCCACAUUUUGGCCUCUGUACCCCAGUCUCCCGUCACUCUUAAGCAUUCUCACUUUUUCCACUCACUUUCCUCCAUUUCAGACAAUUUUGGGGCAAUAACCACCAACAUGUCUAGAGGUUGAGCUGUUUGACCAAUAUUUAAUGAAAUUGUAUUUGUAUUAGGGACCCCUAUACCUCCUGGGCCCCCUCUCUACUUACCCCCCUGGUGACGGUGAAAGGAGUAUUUUCCCAUAUAUUUAUUUUUAAAUGUCACU